CCGUUUAUCUGUCGUCUCCAGUUACUCUUUGAAUAAAUAACAAAGGACAUGCGAACGCGAGACGAUGCAGCUUCACUACGGAUGAACCUGGUACACAAACUGCAUCAACGCACAACAGCAACGAAACACGCCACGAAAAGAGUCAACACGCUUCACAUAACUCGACAAACAAUCCAUAUGUUGUUAAAUCAACAUUUUAAAUGUUACUUAUUUGCAGUGAAACGAUCCACUGACAGUCAAUUAUUCUAUAGAUUAAGAUUCUACGAGCGACUGAAGCCUGAAAAGUCUCAUAAAAUCGUUUCUUCACAAACGUCUUUCCAGUUUCUCGCUCUCUUCUUUGCAGAAGUCAUUCAAUCCCAGAUUUGUUACACCACCUUCACUUCACAGCUCCCUUUUAACCAGCACCACCCACCUCGGCGACCCUGACCUCUGACCUCUGCCCUAACCACCCCAGCGUCACUCUCCUGCCUGCUCAGCUCCACGUAACCACCUCGCCGACGCUGGUUGAAAGGCAUUCUGGAUCGGCUGCUUUUCACAGAGACGCGUUUGCUAGAGGAGGUCACAGCGGCGACCUCUUGCUUCCACCUGAAGC
ensembl:lncRNA